UAUGGGUGAGGACUGUCUAGAUAGUCAGUGUAUCAUAGUGUGAACAUCAAAAUGGAGGAAGCAAAGAAUGAAGAGGGAAUAAUCACUAUUGAUGAACAGAAGUUUGACAUGGAUUUCAGUGGACAACAUACCGUUACAGUAACAGAUCGAAGUGGCCACAGUAUGAAAUAUCAACUUUUCCGUGGAGUACAUCUUACACCUAUGUAUAAAAUUGAAAUACUUCAACAAAUCCAAGGUUUCCGCAUGAGGCCAGAUGACAUAUACUUCACCGGAUUUCCCCGUACAGGAACAAACUGGACGUUCGAAAUGACAAGUAUGCUUCUUAAUGGUAAAGCUGAAACCAUCCAAAGAGCCAAAGAUCUCAUUGAGCUAACUCCUCCUGAAGAACUGGUCCAACGACCAUCACCACGUGUCAUCAACGCACACAUGAAAAUGUCCCACUCUCCAGAUGAUGUAGCAGCCCUCAAGUGCAAAGUCAUCUUUACCCUGAGAGACCCAAAGGAUGCUGCCCUAUCUUUGUACAAACUCAUUCACGACAGACCCUCGCCCUAUGGUAGAUAUCAGGGAUCCUUUGAGGAUUAUCUUCACCUCUACUUGGAUGAAAAAGUGGAUUAUAAUGGCAUAUUUGAACACUUGAAAGACGCCGAGGAAUAUUUCAGUCACCAUCCUGAUAUUCCAGUUCACUUCCAGUGUUAUGAAGACGCCAUUAAGGAUCCUGUAAGUGCUGUACACGCUCUGUCUGACUUCCUCGGUCUUCAAAGAGAUGACAACCUUUGCCGAGCCAUUGUAGAAAAAUGCACCUUUUCUAGAAUGAAAAUCGACAAGGUGCCCUUCGCAAUAAAAAUGGAUGGUGAAAAUGUCCUUUACAGAAAAGGAAUCGUUGGCGACUGGAAGAACUAUUACAACGAGCAGAUGUUGCACGAUUACUACAGAGUGUACGAAGAAAAGCUGGCGGGGACCAGAUUCUAUGAUCUGUAUGCCAGGAGUGAACGAAAUAGACGUACUUGGCACAAACGAAACAGGUCCUUUUGUUCAGAAACUCAGCACAAAACGCAGAUGUAUUAAAUAGUUAAAACUGCCAGACUCUUCAGGAGUGAUGUUUGUAUACAACUGACGGUAUGGUACCGUGGUGGUGUUAAUACCUGUUUCAACAAAUGUCAAGGUUGUCGAUCCAGAUUACCUACAUCAUCAAUGACGUUGAAGAUCAGCUGGAGACUGUUACUGUCCUUGCUGAAGUGUCAGGCAGGAAAAUAGCUGUUGGUCUGGAUUUACAUAUUUGUCAGUUCAACGUCCGCUUACAUGAAGGUGGUCUGUGAAUAUUCCAGUCAAAUCCAGACAGUCAAGUGAUUAACAUCCUGAACAUCGAUUUGAUAAAAAGAAUAUUAAUUUCGUUAUUAGAGCUUGGUCCUUGUUUAUCCUUGUCUGACCUUAUCUAACUUUAUUUGUAAGUGCGGACGUUGCUGCUUUGAACUGUAAAUUAACAGCGUGUCAGUAACCUAGCUAGAAGCGACAAUAUCUUUGAAAAAAUGUACAAAAGCAUGAAACGAUACGAAAAGAAUAAAAAUACAAUAUACA
rnacentral:misc_RNA from 1 species